UAAAUAAUGACACAUUUUAAAUAUUUUUUUGGGGGUCCCCGGAUCAUAACUGAGUGGAAGCCUAAAUGUAUAUUUUUUAAACAUAUAUUGUAUUGGUUUUUGAAUUAAAAACAUAUCAAAAUGGUCCCGCUUGUUUUGAUUUUUCAGUGUACGGUUCUCAGUGGAAAAAGUUUGGACACCCCUGUGCUAUACCAUUGUUUGCCGCUAGAGGGCAGUAAAUGUCUGACGUGUGCUGGGAGUCAGAGAAUGGUUGUGCUAUACCAUUGUGUGCCGCUAGAGGGCAGUAUGUGUCUGACGUGUGCUGGGAGAGUCCUCCCUUUUUAUUUUGUUUACACAGCUGAAUCCUAUCAGACCCUAAUUAAUGUCGUUUGUCUUUUUUUUUUUCAACGUUUAGUCCGAUAAAAGAUAUUAACCUACUCAAAUGUGUAUUGGCCCUACUAAAGUAACUUUAGGCUGCUGAGCUGAAGAUGACUUAUUCGAGGAACAGGAGUGGAAAAAGAAAAUACAUGAAAUAUUGAAGGUUUCGGGUUGACCUCGAUGCCUUCGCCAUAGAAGACUGGGAGCAUACGAGUCCUGGGGUCUGUUCCUGUGUUGUUGAUCAGCAGCCUGCUGCUUUUUGAGUUGGAUUGAAAUGUCGGAUGCUUGUCCUCACAUCGUUGCCUCCCAUGAAACAUGCGGAUCGUAGAAGUGUCAAGUCUCUGCUCCAGGGUCAGGUGCCAUAUUCAUAGAAUCUCCCAACUCCAAGCCUCCGACUUCUAGCAGAUGGCAGAGCCGCCCUUUGAAGAAGCACCGUCAUUAACCUUUGCGGUAGAAUAACAAAGUUGAACACAGGGGUGCUGUGGCUGCUUUGAUGUGGUUCCUGUGUUUGCUCCA